GAUGAACGCUGGCGGCGUGCCUAAUACAUGCAAGUCGAGAGAACGGACGAGAAGCUUGCUUCUCUGAUGUUAGCGGCGGACGGGUGAGUAACACGUGGAUAACCUACCUAUAAGACUGGGAUAACUUCGGGAAACCGUAGCUAAUACCGGAUAAUAUUUUGAACCGCAUGGUUCAAAAGUGAAAGACGGUCUUGCUGUCACUUAUAGAUGGAUCCGCGCUGCAUUAGCUAGUUGGUAAGGUAACGGCUUACCAAGGCAACGAUGCAUAGCCGACCUGAGAGGGUGAUCGGCCACACUGGAACUGAGACACGGUCCAGACUCCUACGGGAGGCAGCAGUAGGGAAUCUUCCGCAAUGGGCGAAAGCCUGACGGAGCAACGCCGCGUGAGUGAUGAAGGUCUUCGGAUCGUAAAACUCUGUUAUUAGGGAAGAACAUAUGUGUAAGUAACUGUGCACAUCUUGACGGUACCUAAUCAGAAAGCCACGGCUAACUACGUG
rnacentral:rRNA from 1 species